rnacentral:misc_RNA from 1 species
UAAUAAGUGUUUUAUGGCACUUUUUAAAUCCAUAUCCACCUUGUGUGUAAUGUCAGUCGAUCUUCUUCAUGGAGAUCGACCAAACAUCAACCUUUAUCUUUUAACUCUUUGUCUGAAAAAUAUUAUGAAUAAACAAUUCAAAAUA